UUUUCUCUUUGCAAGUAAAAGGGCUACCUAAUUAAUUCUGCUUUCAACAUCGGACGUGAAAGCCUGCUUAGGAACCCCCUGCGUGGAAUGGCAGCAGAGAAGAACAAGAAGUGCCUGGUUUGUGUCAGGAGGAACAGGCUGUGCUGUUUUCAGUGCUCUCCUCAGCCUCCCACAGCCACAGAGUCCUUAACAGCAGUCAUUAAACUUCCUAACGUAGACCAGUAUGAGGACUUGUACUGGGAGACAGUCCUUGAAGUCCAGCUAAAAUCUUUCUCCUCUUAGUCAUGGUCGUUCCUCAGAGACACACAGUACUUCCAGAAAAUAUGAACAGAAGCAGAGUUGCCCUGCAAGGGUGUCAGUACUGCUGGAAGCAUUAACAGCUUUAAUGAGGAAAGUAGGGCAGGUUUGAGGGUUUGUAGUUGCUGCUGUGCACAGGUGUCCAGGUGAGAUGCACGCUGGCUUAAAUGGGCAUUUGGGGAAUUCCUAAGGUAGGUGUGACAGCAGUGAACCAAAAUUAUUCAUUAUGGGGAGGGUAGGUGGAAGGAAAACCAGCUUAGAUGUAAUGUUACCAACACCUUUCCUUUAUUCCCAGAAGAAAAUACGUCAGUGACUCUCUUCCACGUUGUCUCCUGAGAUAGAAGACUUCCCAAGGUGUGUGUAGAUUGAAACCAAACACAAAAACCUCCUACUCCAGGUGCUGUUCUCCAGCAAAAAAUUACUCAUCCCAUUCUGUUCCAGCUUUUGAGGAUACAACACCAACUCCCAAAAGGCAUCCUGGAGCCUGUCAUUAUUUUGGGAUACCUCAGCCCCAGCUGGAUUCAGACAGAAGUUAACCAACAGCAUUUAAUUACAGCUACGUCAAAGGCUUGUGUCAAACAGUGUAGUCCAUACAGAAAAUGGAAAGUAAUUGUGUAAGGACUGAAGACCUUAAAUCAUAUAAGUGGAAGGAGUAGAGAGAAUUCAGGUUCAAAGUGGAAGCAGCACCUUAGCACAGCAAAAGCCCCACAGCCUGGCAGGAUUUGGCAUUAUGGAGUGCAAUAGCCAAGGGAAUGAGUUGGAAGAGGCUAAAGUUGCCCAGGAUUUGCACCCACCAUGUAUGACCUUGAUCCUUCAGGGGCAAGGCAGUGUGAAAAGAGAAUGAAUACACGUGAGGGAGCAAAGACAAGGCAUGGGAUCAAGCCAUAAGGAAGUGGGAGCAAAGAAGGCGCUUAGAUUCCAGUAGCGGGAGGUUUUGGAACAGAAGCAAACAGAGGAUAUUGCCACGGUUUGCCUAAAAGUGAGACAGAACAUUUUCCUUACUCCUGAGGGAUGCACAUGGGGAACAGGUAAAAGGAAAAACUGAUAACGCCCUACAUGGAAACAGCCACAUCCCCCAAUAAACAGAGCCUCAUCCCAGCAUUAGAAUGCCAAACAGAUGGAGGAGCCUUUCCUGGGAAUAUGCAUAGGGAAAAAAAUGGCUGAGAAGUAUGGGGUAAGAAAACGCUGCCAAGCUCAACAGGGCCACAGAAAGUGUU